AACUCUCACUCCUCAUCUUUCUUUAUUGAGAGGUAGGGACGUGGAUUUGGAUCUGUUGCUGGUGAAUCUGAUUCAUCGGCUCGUCCGAAAUAUAUUAGCUGGAUCCUCUUUGUCAAUUGGUUCUACUCGACGUAAUAAGUAUUUCGUCGAGGACGGUCUUCGGAUCGGCCGAUAGAAAGAGUCUUUUUUUAGAUCCGCUUCUAAUCCGUGCGAUUUUAUUAUCCACACACUUUUUAUG
rnacentral:misc_RNA from 1 species